AGAAGAACUCCGCCUGGGGAUACGGUCGCAGACUAAAACUCAAAGGAAUUGACGGGGACCCGCACAAGCGGUGGAGCAUGUGGUUUAAUUCGAUGCAACGCGAAAAACCUUACCACUUCUUGACAUGGAGGUUAGAUCUUUCUUAACAGAAAGGCGCAGUUCGGCUGGACCUCACACAGGUGCUGCAUGGCUGUCGUCAGCUCGUGUCGUGAGAUGUUGGGUUAAGUCCCGCAACGAGCGUAACCCUCAUCCUUAGUUACCAGCGGGUAAUGCCGGGCACUUUAAGGAAACUGCCGGUGAUAAACCGGAGGAAGGUGGGGAUGAUGUCAAGUCAGCACGGCCCUUAUGGGGUGGGCUACACACGUGCUACAAUGGCGACCACAAUAGGUUGCAAUGGUCGCAAGA
rnacentral:rRNA from 1 species